rnacentral:misc_RNA from 1 species
UCUCCGUAGGUGAACCAGCGGAGGGAUCAUUACAAGUUACCCCGGUCUAAUCACCGUAAUGUUCAUAACUCUUUGUUGUCCGACUCUGUUGCCUCCCGGUCGACCCUGCCCUCGGCCAGGGGCUCCGGGUGGACACUUCAAUCUCUUGCGUAACUUUGCAGUCUGAGUAUACUUAAUUAAUAAAUUAAAACUUUUAACAACGGAUCUCUUGGUUCUG